rnacentral:lncRNA from 1 species
UAAUUACGUACAAAUCUAAAUCUGAUAUUUGAUAGUAUAUAUUUGAAUUUAACUAUUAUAGUUGAAACUGCACGAGUGGGCCCAACUCAAUAAUUACAUAGAAAAAUUUUAAACAAAAAAUAAUUUUACCUCCCUAAUCAAUUUUAUAUUGAAGAUAAUCUCACCGGUACAAACAUAAAUUAAUAAAAUAUUAAAAAUGCACUUCUCAACAUAUAUAACCAGAUUAAAUUAUUUAUAAUUACAACACUUUUUACUAUAUCCAACCAAAUAUAGUAUAUAUAUUGUUUUAAUUGUUGUAUUUUCAAUUGCAUACAACAGGCCCUUU